AACAGUCUGUAGUGGUUUCGCUCUGUCGCUGGUUCUCGGCUGUGCGCAUAACAUGCAACUUCGCUACCAAUUAUAGAACAGUGGUUAACGCGUACUCCCGUGUAAUCGACAAAUGGAAUUUGAUAAGCUCAAAUGAAAAACCCCAAAUGCUGACCUUCCGAAGAGAACUGGAGAACAUUUUGCUAUGGAAGGAGGAAUCGAGACACUCCAAGGAGAUUCAUUUGUCCGCGCAUUCGUUGAGAAAUACAAAGACGUGCACUGACAAAAAAUCGGUCGCGUUCGUCGACGGCUCGAAUAUGGUAAACGGAAAAGAAGAAGAAAUGGAAGCAGCAGGAGGAGAAAGGAGCAGAAUAACA